GCUACGGUUAGCUCAGAGGGUAGAGCGCCAGGCCGAUAACCUGGAAGUCGCGGGUUCGACUCCCGUACCAAGCACCA
rnacentral:tRNA from 1 species